AGACCCGAAACCCGGUGAUCUAGCCAUGGGCAGGUUGAAGGUUGGGUAACACUAACUGGAGGACCGAACCGACUAAUGUUGAAAAAUUAGCGGAUGACCUGUGGCUGGGGGUGAAAGGCCAAUCAAACCGGGAGAUAGCUGGUUCUCCCCGAAAGCUAUUUAGGUAGCGCCUCGUGAACUCAUCUCCGGGGGUAGAGCACUGUUUCGGCUAGGGGGCCAUCCCGGCUUACCAACCCGAUGCAAACUGCGAAUACCGGAGAAUGUUAUCACGGGAGACACACGGCGGGUGCUAACGUCCGUCGUGAAGAGGGAAACAACCCAGACCGCCAGCUAAGGUCCCAAAGUCAUGGUUAAGUGGGAAACGAUGUGGGAAGGCCCAGACAGCCAGGAUGUUGGCUUAGAAGCAGCCAUCAUUUAAAGAAAGCGUAAUAGCUCACUGGUCGAGUCGGCCUGCGCGGAAGAUGUAACGGGGCUAAACCAUGCACCGAAGCUGCGGCAGCGACGCUGAUGCGUUGUUGGGUAGGGGAGCGUUCUGUAAGCCUGCGAAGGUGGCCUGUGAGGGUUGCUGGAGGUAUCAGAAGUGCGAAUGCUGACAUAAGUAACGAUAAAGCGGGUGAAAAGCCCGCUCGCCGGAAGACCAAGGGUUCCUGUCCAACGUUAAUCGGGGCAGGGUGAGUCGACCCCUAAGGCGAGGCCGAAAGGCGUAGUCGAUGGGAAACGGGUUAAUAUUCCCGUACUUGGUGUUACUGCGAAGGGGGGACGGAGAAGGCUAUGUUGGCCGGGCGACGGUUGUCCCGGUUUAAGCGUGUAGGUGUGUGUUCCAGGUAAAUCCGGUUCACUUUAACACUGAGGCGUGAUGACGAGGCACUACGGUGCUGAAGCAACAAAUGCCCUGCUUCCAGGAAAAGCCUCUAAGCAUCAGGUAACAUCAAAUCGUACCCCAAACCGACACAGGUGGUCAGGUAGAGAAUACCAAGGCGCUUGAGAGAACUCGGGUGAAGGAACUAGGCAAAAUGGUGCCGUAACUUCGGGAGAAGGCACGCUGACACGUAGGUGAAGUGAUUUACUCACGGAGCUGAAGUCAGUCGAAGAUACCAGCUGGCUGCAACUGUUUAUUAAAAACACAGCACUGUGCAAACACGAAAGUGGACGUAUACGGUGUGACGCCUGCCCGGUGCCGGAAGGUUAAUUGAUGGGGUCAGCGCAAGCGAAGCUCCUGAUCGAAGCCCCGGUAAACGGCGGCCGUAACUAUAACGGUCCUAAGGUAGCGAAAUUCCUUGUCGGGUAAGUUCCGACCUGCACGAAUGGCGUAAUGAUGGCCAGGCUGUCUCCACCCGAGACUCAGUGAAAUUGAACUCGCUGUGAAGAUGCAGUGUACCCGCGGCAAGACGGAAAGACCCCGUGAACCUUUACUAUAGCUUGACACUGAACAUUGAGCCUUGAUGUGUAGGAUAGGUGGGAGGCUUUGAAGCGUGGACGCCAGUCUGCGUGGAGCCGACCUUGAAAUACCACCCUUUAAUGUUUGAUGUUCUAACGUGGACCCGUAAUCCGGGUUGCGGACAGUGUCUGGUGGGUAGUUUGACUGGGGCGGUCUCCUCCUAAAGAGUAACGGAGGAGCACGAAGGUUGGCUAAUCCUGGUCGGACAUCAGGAGGUUAGUGCAAUGGCAUAAGCCAGCUUGACUGCGAGCGUGACGGCGCGAGCAGGUGCGAAAGCAGGUCAUAGUGAUCCGGUGGUUCUGAAUGGAAGGGCCAUCGCUCAACGGAUAAAAGGUACUCCGGGGAUAACAGGCUGAUACCGCCCAAGAGUUCAUAUCGACGGCGGUGUUUGGCACCUCGAUGUCGGCUCAUCACAUCCUGGGGCUGAAGUAGGUCCCAAGGGUAUGGCUGUUCGCCAUUUAAAGUGGUACGCGAGCUGGGUUUAGAACGUCGUGAGACAGUUCGGUCCCUAUCUGCCGUGGGCGCUGGAGAACUGAGGGGGGCUGCUCCUAGUACGAGAGGACCGGAGUGGACGCAUCACUGGUGUUCGGGUUGUCAUGCCAAUGGCACUGCCCGGUAGCUAAAUGCGGAAGAGAUAAGUGCUGAAAGCAUCUAAGCACGAAACUUGCCCCGAGAUGAGUUCUCCCUGAGACUUUAGGUCUCCUGAAGGAACGUUGAAGACGACGACGUUGAUAGGCCGGGUGUGUAAGCGCAGCGAUGCGUUGAGCUAACCGGUACUAAUGAACCGUGAGGCUUAACCUUACAACGCCGAAGCUGUU
rnacentral:rRNA from 1 species